GUUCCUGGUCCAUCUGGGAUAACAUUUCCACUUGUUGUCAUUUGCACAACCUGGCAAGGAUAUAUUUGCCGAGCACUUUUGUUUGGGUACCCCCCUUUCUUUUAGGCAAAAUUUUAGGUAACACACUAUUAGCUCUGUGCUUCCCCAAAACCCACCUGAAUUUUAUUUUAAGAGAAACUACUCAAA